GGGGUCAUAGCUCAGUUGGUAGAGUGUUUGAAUGGCAUUCAAAAGGUCGGGGGUUCGACUCCCCCUGGCUCCA
rnacentral:tRNA from 1 species